CAGCUAGUUGGUGAGGUAACGGCUCACCAAGGCUACGAUGUCUAGGGGGUCUGAGAGGAUGAUCCCCCACACUGGUACUGAGACACGGACCAGACUCCUACGGGAGGCAGCAGUAAGGAAUAUUGGACAAUGGGCGCAAGCCUGAUCCAGCCAUGCCGCGUGCAGGAUGAAGGUGCUCUGCAUUGUAAACUGCUUUUAUCCAGGAAUAAACUCUGCUAUUCUUAGUGGACUGAAUGUACUGGAAGAAUAAGGGACGGCUAACUUCGUGCCAGCAGCCGCGGUAAUACGAAGGUCCCAAGCGUUAUCCGGAUUUAUUGGGUUUAAAGGGUGCGUAGGCGGAUUAUUAAGUCAGUGGUGAAAUCCUUCAGCUUAACUGAAGAACUGCCAUUGAUACUGAUGAUCUUGAGUUUGGUUGAGGUGGGCGGAAUGUGUCAUGUAGCGGUGAAAUGCUUAGAUAUGACACAGAACACCGAUUGCGAAGGCAGCUCACUAAGCCAAUACUGACGCUGAUGCACGAAAGCGUGGGGAGCAAAC
rnacentral:rRNA from 1 species